rnacentral:tRNA from 1 species
CAAAAAGUAGCUUAUGUAAAGCAUUCGACCUACACUCGAACGAUAUUAAUACUAAUCUUUUUGA